AAUCAACGCUGGCGGCGUGCCUAACACAUGCAAGUCGAACGCGAAAGCCCCUUCGGGGGUAAGUAGAGUGGCGUCCGGGUGAGUAACACGUGGGUAAUCUGCCUUCGGGUGGGGAAUAACCCAGGGAAACUUGGGCUAAUACCGCAUAAUGCAGCGGCACCUAAUGGUGAUUAGUUGUUAAAGCGGGGGAUCGCAAGACCUCGCGCCUGAAGAGGAGCCUGCGGCAGAUUAGCUAGNGGUGAGGUAAUGGCUCACCAAGGCUUCGAUCUGUAGCUGGUCUGAGAGGACGGCCAGCCACACUGGCACUGACACACGGGCCAGACUCCUACGGGAGGCAGCAGUGGGGAAUUUUGGGCAAUGGGCGAAAGCCUGACCCAGCAACGCCGCGUGAGGGAGGAAAUCCUUCGGGAUGUAAAACCUCACAAGCAAGGGAAGAGAGCUACGGGCCGAAUAAUCCCGUAGUGCGACGGUACCUUGCGUAAGCCACGGCUAACUACGUGCCAGCCGCC
rnacentral:rRNA from 1 species